rnacentral:rRNA from 1 species
CCUACGGGGGGCAGCAGUGGGGAAUAUUGGACAAUGGGGGGAACCCUGAUCCAGCGACGCCGCGUGAGUGAAGAAGUAUUUCGGUAUGUAAAGCUCUAUCAGCAGGGAAGAAAGAAAUGACGGUACCUGACUAAGAAGCCCCGGCUAACUACGUGCCAGCAGCCGCGGUAAUACGUAGGGGACAAGCGUUAUCCGGAUUUACUGGGUGUAAAGGGAGCGUAGACGGCGAUGCAAGUCUGAAGUGAAAGGCGGGGGCCCAACCCCCGGACUGCUUUGGAAACUGUAUGGCUGGAGUGCAGGGGAGGUAAGUGGAAUUCCUAGUGUAGCGGUGAAAUGCGUAGAUAUUAGGAGGAACACCAGUGGCGAAGGCGGCUUACUGGACUGUAACUGACGUUGAGGCUCGAAAGCGUGGGGAGCAAACAGGAUUAGAUACCCUUGUAGUC